rnacentral:rRNA from 1 species
AUGAGGGAUGGAAGGGCCCGACGAGUUUGCAGUGCAGAUGUUCGAUUCACUGGCAAGGAAGAGAGGGACAGUGAAGUGCUGACCAAGGCGGAGCUGAAAGAGCUCUGGGAGCAACUCAGUCACCAGGGUUUCGACAAUCGUCACCAAACAUGCAUCGACAUGGUUGACAAAAUGCUGACGGAAGAAUCACAUCCGAGGAUGUUAAGGAGGACAGUCACAAGAACCCAAACUGAAAAUAUAGUCUUAGUGUGUAAAUGUGAAGCAUAUAUUCCGCUAUUAAUUAAGCUAAUGAUGACAUGCUUUCACAGAUUAUCGCCCUUAGUGCAUCAGCAAACAAACUUUCCAAGAUCAAGGAGCGAGCGGAUUAGUACACAGUGCUCAUCAUGGAAGAAUUUGACCCUAACAAUUUGGGCUACAUAG